AGAGUUUGAUCCUGGCUCAGGAUGAACGCUAGCUGGAGGCCUUAUACAUGCAAGUCGAGCUGGAUUCANGACUUUCGGUUGUGAUGAGAGCGGCGCACGGGUGAGUAACGCGUACACGACCUACCUCUGACAGGGGGAUAGCCCCGGGAAACUGGGAUUAAUACCGCAUACGAUUCAGUUGAUAGAGCGACUGAAUGAAAGCUGAGGCGGUCAGAGAUGGGUGUGCGUCUGAUUAGCUAGUUGGUAGGGUAACGGCCUACCAAGGCGAUGAUCAGUAGGGGGCGUGAGAGCGUGAUCCCCCACACGGGUACUGAGACACGGACCCGACUCCUACGGGAGGCAGCAGUAAGGAAUAUUGGUCAAUGGGCGCAAGCCUGAACCAGCCAUCCAGCGUACAGGAAGACGGCCCUAUGGGUUGUAAACUGCUUUAGUCAGGGAAUAAACCCCUGGAUUUACUCCGGGGCUGAAGGUACCUGAAGAAUAAGCACCGGCUAACUCCGUGCCAGCAGCCGCGGUAAUAC
rnacentral:rRNA from 1 species